UGGGGAAUAUUGGACAAUGGGCGAAAGCCUGAUCCAGCCAUGCCGCGUGUGUGAAGAAGGUCUUCGGAUUGUAAAGCACUUUAAGUUGGGAGGAAGGGCAUUAACCUAAUACGUUAGUGUUUUGACGUUACCGACAGAAUAAGCACCGGCUAACUCUGUGCCAGCAGCCGCGGUAAUACAGAGGGUGCAAGCGUUAAUCGGAAUUACUGGGCGUAAAGCGCGCGUAGGUGGUUUGUUAAGUUGGAUGUGAAAUCCCCGGACUCAACCUGGGAACUGCAUUCAAAACUGACUGACUAGAGUAUGGUAUAGGGUGGUGGAAUUUCCUGUGUAGCGGUGAAAUGCGUAGAUAUAGGAAGGAACACCAGUGGCGAAGGCGACCACCUGGACUAAUACUGACACUGAGGUGCGAAAGCGUGGGGAGCAAACA
rnacentral:rRNA from 1 species